rnacentral:rRNA from 1 species
UACGGAGGAUGCAAGCGUUAUCCGGAUUUAUUAGGUUUAAAGGGUGCGUAGGUGGGCGUUUAAGUCAGUGGUUAAAGCCAUUAGCUUAACUAAUGUAUGCCAUUGAUACUGGAUGUCUUGAAUGUGGUAGAGGUAGGCGGAAUGUGUUGUGUAGCGGUGAAAUGCUUAGAUAUUACGCAGAACACCGAUCGCGAAGGCAGCUUGCUGGGCCAGUAUUGACGCUGAGGCACGAAAGCGUGGGUAGCGAACAGGAUUAGA